ACCCCACGCCUGGGUGGCAGCUUAUAGGGCAACUCCGGUGGCAUUACGUCCUUGAAUUCUUCCAGCACGUUCUGGAUGCAAGCGGGGAUAUCGCUAUCAACUCCCCCUUCUUCUUCUUGCUGAAGGACGGCUAACCAUGUCUCCUCCCCACGUUUGAUUCCCUUGGCCAGUUGCAUGGCACUAAGUUGAGGAGAUUUGGANNNN
rnacentral:lncRNA from 1 species